UUCCCCUUGAAGACUCUUUUGGAUCCCUUUGUCCCAAAGAUACUAAAGUCUUAUCCAAGGGGGAAAAUGCACGCUGUACCACUAAUCCAUGUCGAUCUUCCAUGUCAAAUUCAUCAAGCAUUUGUUUGGAUACAUAAUUAAAUCCAAACCCUCUACUUUAAUUAGGACGUUCAUGUCUGAAUCCAAAAUUAUCAUUUUGUAUAAGCAAAAUGUCUCCUUCUCAAAGCAAGGAUUGCUAAUUCAAUGAUGUCUUGCUGGAUUCCAAAAAAACCGGUCUCUGCAAGCCAGAGAGUGGCACGGAUUGAUAGUGCAAAACAAGAAAGUCGUACAGACUGAGCUGCUUGUGUCUGCCUUUGCCUCAGAGGGGAUCUACAAUGGGAUGCUUUAUUAGUAGUGCUCAAACAGCUUCUCAUUGUCCUUUUCUUCUUCUUUUUUCUUGCAAAUAUUGAAAGGAAUCUUUGUCCAGCCUUUCUUACAUUCCCCCCUUUUUUUUAUUGCCAUACUAUGAGACAUGAAUGAUCAGUGGUUCUAUUUCUUGAAUCUGGAAUUAUUAUGUCUAGAAAAAAAUAUAAUUUCCUCUUUCUCCUCCAUUGUCCUCGUUAUAUACGGGCAGGGUAGAACAUUUGAGACAACGAGAGGCCCAAGCUUGCAGUCUUCAUAGCAAUUAUUCAUAGUUUUAAGCUUAUGUUAACCCUUAUGAUUUAUACGACUAAUAUAAACUCACUCUUGAGUUUACAACUUAA